ensembl:lncRNA
AUGCUAUGGGGCUGGGAGUGCUAUGGGGCUGUGGGGCAGGCAAUGCUAUGGGGCAGGCGAUGCUAUGGGGCUGUGGGGCAGACGAUGGUAUGGAACAGGCAGUGCUAUGGGGCAGGCAAUGCUAUGGGGCAGGGAGUGCUGUGCUAUGGGGCAGGCGAUGCUAUGGGGCAGCCCCCCUUGGCUGCCCCAUAGAUCUCCACUGACUGCCCCAUAGAUGUCCAUUGGCCGCCCCAUAGAUCUCCAUUUCUCCAUUGGCUGCCCCAUAGAUCUCCAUUGGCCGCCCCAUAGAUCUCCAUUUCUCCAUUGGCUGCCCCAUAGAUGUCCAUUGGCCGCCCCAUAGAUCUCCAUUUCUCCACUGGCUGCCCCAUAGAUCUCCAUUGGCUGCCCCAUAGAUCUCCAUUUCUCCAUUGGCUGCCCCAUAGAUCUCCAUUGGCCGCCCCAUAGAUCUCCAUUUCUCCAUUGGCUG